rnacentral:rRNA from 1 species
CCGGAUAUGGAACCGGCGUGGCGGUAUGCUUAACACAUGCAAGUCGAACGGUCUCUUCGGAGAUAGUGGCGGACGGCGAUAGUAACGCGUGAGAAUCUAGCUUCAGGUCGGGGACAACCCCUGGAAACGGUGGCUAAUACCGGAUGUGCCGAAAGGUGAAAGAUUUAUUGCCUGAAGAUGAGCUCGCGUCUGAUUAGCUAGUUGGUGUGGUAAGAGCGCACCAAGGCGACGAUCAGUAGCUGGUCUGAGAGGAUGAUCAGCCACACUGGGACUGAGACACGGCCCAGACUCCUACGGGAGGCAGCAGUGGGGAAUUUUCCGCAAUGGGCGAAAGCCUGACGGAGCAAUACCGCGUGAGGGAGGAAGGCUCUUGGGUUGUAAACCUCUUUUCUCAGGGAAUAAAAAAAUGAAGGUACCUGAGGAAUAAGCAUCGGCUAACUCC